GAUGAACGCUGGCGGCGUGCCUAAUACAUGCAAGUAGAACGCUGAAGGAAGGAGCUUGCUCUUUCCGGAUGAGUUGCGAACGGGUGAGUAACGCGUAGGUAACCUGCCUGGUAGCGGGGGAUAACUAUUGGAAACGAUAGCUAGUACCGCAUAACAGUAGAUGUUGCAUGAUAUCUACUUAAAAGGUGCAAUUGCACCACUACCAGAUGGACCUGCGUUGUAUUAGCUAGUUGGUGAGGUAACGGCUCACCAAGGCGACGAUACAUAGCCGACCUGAGAGGGUGAUCGGCCACACUGGGACUGAGACACGGCCCAGACUCCUACGGGAGGCAGCAGUAGGGAAUCUUCGGCAAUGGACGGAAGUCUAACCGAGCAACGCCGCGUGAGUGAAGAAGGGUUUCGGAUCGUAAAGCUCUGUUGUAAGAGAAGAACGAGUGUGAGAGUGGAAAGUUCACACUGUGACGGUAUCUUACCAGAAAGAGACGGCUAACUACGUG
rnacentral:rRNA from 1 species